rnacentral:rRNA from 1 species
UUAAUAUAGAAUUUAUUUUUGUUUUUAUUUUGUUUAAUUUAAUUGAAAUAUCAUUUUUUAUAUAGUAGUUUUUAUUGAAAUUUUUAAAUUGAAUUAUAGUUGAUUUUACUGUGAAGGAAUACUAUUUUAUUUAAUUUAAGUAUAAUAUUUUUUAGUACCUUUUGUAUCAGGGUUUAUUUACUAAAUAAUAAAUAUUUAUUAUUUCCCGAAAGUAAAAGAGAUAAUUUUUAUUGAUUUUGUAUGUUAUAAAAUGCUUUUUAAUUUAAUUUUAGAGGUUAUAUGCUAUUCAAUUUUAUAUAUCUGGUUUCUUGAUAAAUGAAUUUAAUUCAGAAUUAUUUAAGUUAUUUAUUAAUUUUAUUUUAUUUAAUUUGAUAAUUUAAUGUUAAGGGGGAUUAGCUCUUUAAUAUUUAAUAUAAGUUUUUAUUUAUGUUUAUUUUUAGUAGGCUUGAUACCAGCCAUCUUUAAUUUCGUUAUAGUUUAUUUUAUAUAUUAAUUUAUUUUGUUUUCUUUAUUAUUAUAUUAAGAUUUUUUAUUUAAUUUGGUUUUAUAUGUAAUUAUGAUAGAAUUAGUAGUUUUUUAUAUUUAAGUAUAGUAACUCGGCAAUUUUUAUUUUCGCCUGUUUAACAAAAACAUGUCCUAUAGAUUUAAUUUUAGGUUUAAUCUGCUCAGUGAUAAUUUAUAAUUAAAUAGCCGCAGUAUUUUGACUGUGCAAAGGUAGCAUAAUCAUUUGUCUUUUAAUUGAAGGCUUGUAUGAAUGAUUGGACGAAAAAUAGACUUUCUUUACUUGAGUAUUUUGAAUUUAAAUUUUUAGUUAAAAUGCUAAAAUUUUUUUGUUAGACGAGAAGACCCUAUAGAGUUUUAUUUUAUUAUUUAUUAAUUUUUUUAUUUUUAUUUUAAUUAAUUUUAAUUUAAUUUGGUUGGGGUGAUUUUGAAAUUUUUUAAACUUUUAUUUUUUAUUUUUCAUUAAUUGAUGUUUAUUUUGAUCCUUAAUUAUAAAUUGGGAUUAUAAGAUUAAAUUACCUUAGGGAUAACAGCGUAAUUUUUUUGGAGAGUUCUUAUUGAUGAAGGAGUUUGCGACCUCGAUGUUGGAUUAAAGUUAGAUUUUGGUGUAGAAGCUGAAUUUUCUAGGUCUGUUCGACCUUUAAAUCUUUACAUGAUCUGAGUUCAGACCGGCGUGAGCCAGGUUGGUUUCUAUCUACAAAAAAUUUUAAUAUCUUAGUACGAAAGGACCAGAUAUUAGUAAUAUUUAUUUAUUUUUGAUUAUUAUUA